GAUGAACGCUAGCGGCAGGCUUAAUACAUGCAAGUCGUGGGGCAGCAGGGGUAGCAAUACCCGCUGGCGACCGGCAAACGGGUGCGGAACACGUACGCAACCUUCCUUUAACUGGAGGAUAGCCCCUCGAAAGAGGGAUUAAUACUCCGUAACAUAGUGAUAAGGCGUCUUAGUAUUAUGAUAGCUCCGGCGGUUAAGAAUGGGCGUGCGCCUGAUUAGAUAGUUGGUGAGGUAACGGCUCACCAAGUCUGCGAUCAGUAACUGGUGUGAGAGCACGACCAGUCACACGGGCACUGAGACACGGGCCCGACUCCUACGGGAGGCAGCAGUAAGGAAUAUUGGUCAAUGGACGCAAGUCUGAACCAGCCAUGCCGCGUGGAGGAUUAAGGCCCUCUGGGUUGUAAACUCCUUUUAUCUGGGAAGAAUUCCACGUAUUCUUAUGUGGUUGACGGUACCAGAGGAAUAAGCACCGGCUAACUCCGUGCCAGCCGCCGCAGUAACAC
rnacentral:rRNA from 1 species